GAUGUUGCCUGAAAAGUUUUGCAUGGAAUAAUGGAAUAGGACUUCGGUUCUAUUUCGUUGGUUUUCGGAUCCGAAGUAAUGAUCAAAAGAGACAGGCGGGGACGUUUGUAUGGCUGCGCUAGAGGUGAAAUUCAUGGACCGUAGCCAGACAAACUAAAGCGAAAGCAUUCGUCAAGCAUGUUUUCAUUGGCCAUGAGCGAAAGUCAGAGGCUCGAAGACGAUCAGAUACCGUCCUAGUUCUGACCAUAAACGAUGCCAACUGACGAUCCGUGGUGGUAGUGCUAGAACCUUCCCCACGGGCAGUCCCCGGGAAACCUUUAAGUCUUUGGGUUCCGGGGGAAGUAUGGUUGCAAAGCUGAAACUUAAAGGAAUUGACGGAAGGGCACCACCAGGAGUGGAGCCUGCGGCUUAAUUUGACUCAACACGGGAAAACUCACCCGGGCCGGACACUAUGAG
rnacentral:rRNA from 1 species